GGGCUCGUGGUUUAGCGGCUAUAACGGCGCCCUUACAAGGCGCAUGUCGCCAGUUCGAAUCUGGCCGGGCCCA
rnacentral:tRNA from 1 species